rnacentral:lncRNA from 1 species
AGAAUCUAAAGAUCAAUAUUCUUUACUUAACGUAAGUAAAUUCCAUUUAGUUAUUGUACGCGUCGAGAAGCCUCUAAUUAGAAUCAAACACGCUACCAACUGUGACGGACAGAAGUGAAGGGUACGCUUGGUAAGGUUUAAUCAUCGAGGAAGAAAAUGAAAAAUAGAAUGAUGACUACUAAUAAUGUUGCAGUGGCGGCCCAACAUUAUUGAUGGCCUAAAGCAGAAUUUUGACUAGGGGCUCUAAUUUAUUAACAGAAA